rnacentral:rRNA from 1 species
AGAGUUUGAUCCUGGCUCAGAACGAACGUUGGCGGCGUGGAUUAGGCAUGCAAGUCGAACGAGAAAGGUUUCGCAAGAGACCAAGUAAAGUGGCGGACGGGUGAGUAAUGCAUAGACAACUUGCCCCUGAGAUGGGAAUAACGCUUCGAAAGGAGUGCUAAUACCCAGUGCCGUCUCGGGUCGAUGGAUCCGAGAUGAAAGGAGGCCUCUGACUCAAGCUUCCGCUCAGGGAGAGGUUUAUGUCCUAUUAGCUAGUUGGUGAGGUAACGGCUCACCAAGGCUGCGAUGGGUAGCCGACCUGAGAGGGUGACCGGCCACACUGGGACUGAGACACUGCCCAGACUCCUACGGGAGGCUGCAGUCGAGAAUCUUCCGCAAUGCGCGCAAGCGUGACGGAGCGACGCCGCGUGGGCGAUGAAGGCCUUCGGGUUGUAAAGCCCUGUUAGCUACUAUGAAUUGCGGGUGGCGAAUAGCCAUCCCGCUGACGUAAGUGCAAAGAAGA